rnacentral:rRNA from 1 species
GACGAAUGCUGGCUGCGUGCUUAACACAUGCAAGUCGAACGGUGAAGGAGGGCUUGCCCUCCGGAUCAGUGGCGAACGGGUGAGUAACACGUGGGCAACCUGCCCCUCACUCUGGGAUAACGCCGGGAAACCGGCGCUAAUAUCGGAUACGACCAGGCGCGACAUCUCGCCUGGUGGAAAGAAUUUCGGUGAGGGAUGGGCCCGCGGCCUAUCAGCUAGUUGGUGAGGUAAUGGCUCACCAAGGCGACGACGGGUAGCCGGCCUGAGAGGGCGACCGGCCACACUGGGACUGAGACACGGCCCAGACUCCUACGGGAGGCAGCAGUGGGGAAUAUUGCGCAAUGGGCGAAAGCCUGACGCAGCGACGCAGCGUGAGGGACGAAGGCCUUCGGGUUGUAAACCUCUUUCAGCGGGGACGAAGCGAAAGUGACGGUACCCGCAGAAGGAGCACCGGCUAACUACGUGCCAGCCGCCGCAGUAAAAC